UCAACAGUAGUCAUCAAGGAUAAGAAUAAUAGGAAGUGGUUUUAGAAAUAUGUAAGUUUCAAAUAUUAGUUUUAAAUAUUGGGUUUAAAUAUGUAAGUUUUUAAUUAUCUUUACUUCUCAACGAAUGGGUUAAAAAAAUUGUAGUUUUAAAUAUUGGAAUGAUAGAAAAGUAUGUAAGUUUUAAUUAAGUUAAUAGGAUAAUUAGUUAGUAAAUUUAGAAGUGUUGGACCAAUAAGGCGCAGACACGUGGUA
rnacentral:lncRNA from 1 species